UACAGAGGUCUCAAGCGUUGUUCGGAUUCAUUGGGCGUAAAGGGUGCGUAGGUGGCGUCGUAAGUCGGGUGUGAAAUUUCGGAGCUUAACUCCCGAAACUGCAUUCGAUACUGCGGUGCUUGAGGACUGGAGAGGAGACUGGAAUUUACGGUGUAGCAGUGAAAUGCGUAGAGAUCGUAAGGAAGACCAGUGGCGAAGGCGGGUCUCUGGACAGUUCCUGACACUGAGGCACGGAAG
rnacentral:rRNA from 1 species